AUGAACGCUAGCUACAGGCUUAACACAUGCAAGUCGAGGGGCAGCAUGGUCUUAGCUUGCUAAGGCCGAUGGCGACCGGCGCACGGGUGAGUAACACGUAUCCAACCUGCCGUCUACUCUUGGACAGCCUUCUGAAAGGAAGAUUAAUACAAGAUGGCAUCAUGAGUCCGCAUGUUCACAUGAUUAAAGGUAUUCCGGUAGACGAUGGGGAUGCGUUCCAUUAGAUAGUAGGCGGGGUAACAGCCCACCUAGUCUUCGAUGGAUAGGGGUUCUGAGAGGAAGGUCCCCCACAUUGGAACUGAGACACGGUCCAAACUCCUACGGGAGGCAGCAGUGAGGAAUAUUGGUCAAUGGGCGAGAGCCUGAACCAGCCAAGUAGCGUGAAGGAUGACUGCCCUAUGGGUUGUAAACUUCUUUUGUAAAGGAAUAAAGUCGGGUAUGGAUACCCGUUUGCAUGUACUUUAUGAAUAAGGAUCGGCUAACUCCGUGCCAGCAGCCGCGGUAAUACGGAGGAUCCGAGCGUUAUCCGGAUUUAUUGGGUUUAAAGGGAGCGUAGAUGGAUGUUUAAGUCAGUUGUGAAAGUUUGCGGCUCAACCGUAAAAUUGCAGUUGAUACUGGAUAUCUUGAGUGCAGUUGAGGCAGGCGGAAUUCGUGGUGUAGCGGUGAAAUGCUUAGAUAUCACGAAGAACUCCGAUUGCGAAGGCAGCCUGCUAAGCUGCAACUGACAUUGAGGCUCGAAAGUGUGGGUAUCAAACAGGAUUAGAUACCCUGGUAGUCCACACGGUAAACGAUGAAUACUCGCUGUUUGCGAUAUACUGCAAGCGGCCAAGCGAAAGCGUUAAGUAUUCCACCUGGGGAGUACGCCGGCAACGGUGAAACUCAAAGGAAUUGACGGGGGCCCGCACAAGCGGAGGAACAUGUGGUUUAAUUCGAUGAUACGCGAGGAACCUUACCCGGGCUUAAAUUGCAGAUGAAUUACGGUGAAAGCCGUAAGCCGCAAGGCAUCUGUGAAGGUGCUGCAUGGUUGUCGUCAGCUCGUGCCGUGAGGUGUCGGCUUAAGUGCCAUAACGAGCGCAACCCUUGUUGUCAGUUACUAACAGGUUCCGCUGAGGACUCUGACAAGACUGCCAUCGUAAGAUGUGAGGAAGGUGGGGAUGACGUCAAAUCAGCACGGCCCUUACGUCCGGGGCUACACACGUGUUACAAUGGGGGGUACAGAGGGCCGCUACCACGCGAGUGGAUGCCAAUCCCCAAAACCUCUCUCAGUUCGGACUGGAGUCUGCAACCCGACUCCACGAAGCUGGAUUCGCUAGUAAUCGCGCAUCAGCCACGGCGCGGUGAAUACGUUCCCGGGCCUUGUACACACCGCCCGUCAAGCCAUGGGAGCCGGGGGUACCUGAAGUGCGUAACCGCGAGGAGCGCCCUAGGGUAAAACUGGUGACUGGGGCU
rnacentral:rRNA from 1 species